rnacentral:rRNA from 1 species
GAUGAACGCUAGCGGCAGGCCUAACACAUGCAAGUCGAGGGAGGAGCCUUCGGGCUUCGACCGGCGUACGGGUGCGUAACGCGUAUACAAUCUGCCUUUCACAUAGGGAUAGCCCGAAGAAAUUUGGAUUAAUACCUAAUGGUAUAUAGAUGUGGCAUCACCUUUAUAUUAAAGCUGAGGCGGUGAAAGAUGAGUAUGCGUUCUAUUAGCUAGUUGGAGAGGUAACGGCUCCCCAAGGCGACGAUAGAUAGGGGUUCUGAGAGGGAUAUCCCCCACACUGGUACUGAGAUACGGACCAGACUCCUACGGGAGGCAGCAGUGAGGAAUAUUGGACAAUGGUCGGAAGACUGAUCCAGCCAUGCCGCGUGCAGGAAGACGGCCUUAUGGGUUGUAAACUGCUUUUGCAGGGGAAGAAUAAGGACUACGCGUAGUUUGAUGACGGUACUCUGCGAAUAAGCAUCGGCUAACUCCGU